GUAACAUUUGAACAGGCGUCCAAAUGUAAUGUCUAAAGCUGCCACUGAUGUGUGUACCUUGCACGGGAGUGGUUUUCGGUCGAUAAUAAGGUAGAACCUUUGGAUAUUCUUCUUUUGCUCACCGAUGCAAAGGAGGAACGGUUGUUUGCGUCGACACUCUCAAGGAAGUCUUGCAGUCUGUGAUGUUUGGCUUGAAGAAAGUUGACCACUUGGACAGGAACUUCUGAGACACUUCGUCACCAAACAUCAUUGAGAAAUCCUGGUCGAUCUAUAAACAAGGAAAACAAUAUUUUAAUAUACAGGUUCAAGCAUACAUCACAAAAUGAAUGAAAGGUCAAAUACUGAAAUGGAAGAUUGAAAAGAAGAUUAAAGAGAUUAUAGUAUAGUGCCGAAAAAUAUUAUAUUGUCCUGCACUGGACUAUAUUACUGUUCUACACUGGACAACUACAACCAAAGCAAAAGAGUUUUCUUACCAAUCCAGGUACAUCAAGAAAACGAGGGAACACAUCCAGGAAUGAAGAUGAUGCAUCAUCCCCAACCAUCUUCUGUCGAUUCUCAACUUCUCUUUGACCACAGAUUCAUCGCUGGAAUGUCUUAUUGUAGAUAUCGCCUCCCUGCACUCCUCACCAAAUAGCUGUUGGCAGGUUGAUAGAGAUUCUCGCCUGGUUUUUGGACCAUCCUGAAGAACGGUCUUGGAACGACCCCGCAAGCCAGCAAAGAACACCCUCAACCAUCUGCCAAGAAAUAUUACAUUGUUAUGGCAUGCUUACGAAUAACGGUGGAAUCAGAUGAAUGGGAUAAAGCUGGGGAUAGUGCAGUCUGUGCCACUACCAAGGAUGAAUGGGAUGAAGUUGGGGACAGCGAUGUCAAUACAGAGGAGGAUGCUUGAUCUGCAACCAGCUCAACAUCCAGAUCUACAAAAUGGCAGACAGAACAAAGACAAUUUAAAUGUACCUAUCAGUAACAAAACAAUCUCAAUCUUAAAUAAAGCAUUUAAAAAGUACUAAGCAUAUUAUAUUCUUCCUUAAUUACUACCCAGUGAUAGAUCAUAUGUAUUUAAGACAAUGAUUGUCAAGUGUUACGCCACACAUCGUAUUUCUCACGCUGAAAAAAAAGUCCGCGCUGGCUCCCCUCCAACCUUCCAGACGGUGUCUGUAACCGUAACCGCUGCACGUAGUGUCCACGCCCGGUCAGCCGUAGCGUUCAGCCCCCCAUUCUUCAAAACUUGAGCCCUGCGGCGUUGAGUAACUAUAAGCACAGUAAAACGUAUUUGAGAAAGGAGUCCUUCCGAUUAACUUUCCGAUAGUAACUUCAUAUUAACUACCGACACUUCUGAUAAUCAAAAUGUAAUUUAGAUAUACAUAUACCCAGUCCUCGUAUGAGAAUAUUUGCUUUCAUGCAGCUAAGACGUGGGAACCGGUUCUGGCUCUUAGCUAGCCAGCUAACUAGCAUUUAUUUAUUUGAAAGAAUGUUGGCAUUACUAAAGUACCGUCACGUAACUUAACGUUACAUUAACAAACUUGAAACACUCAACAGGAAUUCUAUUUUGCUCACAGUCAGACUCAAUAGACCAGUAAACAGAAAACGUGUGAAAGUAGAAGAAACAAACUCUUGCUAACGUUAGCUUGGCAAACUUAGCUUGCCAACGUUAGCUUGCCAGUUACCGUACAGUAGUUUGUCCGCUCUGGGCGUAGGUUACGGUUGCUAGCUAGCUGACAUUAGCCUGGCUGCAGUAAAGGCGGCAGCAUAACAGUUAACCUACAUUAGAGCGGCUAUAAAUAUAUUACUAAUGUCUAAAUAUAUGUCCAUCUGUAUAUAAUAAUAGCACUCAUUAGGUUAUCUAAUUAACUGUUACUUACCGACACAAUGCAACACGUUUUCUUCAAUUUUGAACAAACUGUCCUCGAAAACGUUGUGCUGCUCGUUGCUCCAGUUGAGUUGUGCAGGUAAAUUACUUGAAUCCCGCCAGAUUGUUGCUCUCACGAGAUUAUUGUUCGCGCGAUGCCAGAGAGUAGUCACUCCUUACACCCGAGCUGAGAG
ensembl:lncRNA